UACGUAGGGCGCAAGCGUUUGUCCGGAAUUAUUGGGCGUAAAGAGCUCGUAGGCGGUCUGUCGCGUCGGAUGUGAAAGCCCGGGGCUUAACCCCGGGUCUGCAUUCGAUACGGGCAGACUAGAGUGUGGUAGGGGAGAUCGGAAUUCCUGGUGUAGCGGUGAAAUGCGCAGAUAUCAAGGAGGAACACCGGGUGGCGAAGGCGGGUCUCUGGGCAGUAACUGACGCUGAGGAGCGAAAGCGUGGGGAGCGAACAGG
rnacentral:rRNA from 1 species